CGGGGUGCACCAGGCGCGAAAACUUUACAAUGCAGGCAAAUGCGAUAGGGGAACAUCGAGUGAUACUCAUCUUGGGUGUCUGUCCUUCCGUCUAAAAAACGGGAGUUAGCAAGGGCCGGGCAAGACCGGUGCCAGCCGCCGCGGUAAUACCGGCGGCUCGAGUGGUGGCCGAUAUUAUUGAGUCUAAAGGGUCCGUAGCCGGCUUGGCAAGUCUCUUGGGAAAUCCGGCGGCUUAACCGUCGGUUGUCCGGGAGAUACUACUUUGCUUGGGACUGGGAGAGGCUUGAGGUACUCAGGGGGUAGGAGUGAAAUCCUGUAAUCCUUUGGGGACCACCGGUGGCGAAGGCGUCACGCCAGAACAGGUCCGACGGUGAGGGACGAAAGCUAGGGGCACGAACCGGAUUAGAUACCCGGGUAGUCCUAGCCGUAAACGAUGCUCGCUAGGUGUCGCGACAAUCGUGAAUUGUCGUGGUGCCGUAGGGAAGCCGUGAAGCGAGCCACUUGGGAAGUACGACCGCAAGGUUGAAACUUAAAGGAAUUGGCGGGGGAGCACAAGGGCGAUUCGCG
rnacentral:rRNA from 1 species